UAACAAUAUGAAUAAGAAAAGAAUCAAAUAAUCAAAUAGUAAUUAAAUACUUUUAGAAAUAGUAAUAAUCAAUUUUUUUUUAAAUGGGAACCCCUAGAGUUAGAAAGUAUAUCUAAAAAUUUAACCUUUGAAAAAUGAGUGGAUGUAAUGUAAGGAGAAUAAGUGUAUCGUUGAGAAUUUUGGUUGGUUGGAGAUAUGGAAUGAAAAAUAAACUCUUGUGGCGUUAUUGACUGACUUUCUUGUUUGGGGAAUAGAUCAAUCGCAAAAGAGAAGUAUGUUAUGCAUUAUAUAUGCAGUGCAUAUUGUCGCAUCUCGAAAAAUACAAUCAUUAACGAUGCUUGUUAGAAGUAGUUAUAAUUAACUUCUAUGAAAUGAUUGGACCAAGCAAAUAAUGAAUCCAUGAAUGAAUGAAGAAACCUCAAUGACUAUGAAAUGAUUGGACCAGGCAAAUAAUGAAUCCUUGGAGCCAACUGAUUUUAAUGAACCUCGACACACAAAGGG
rnacentral:lncRNA from 1 species